GUGUUGAUAUGUGUCUGUGUGUUUGUAUGUUUGUGUGUACAUGUGUGUCAAAGAAAUGCGGGCUGCGCACGGGUGGGGUGCGCUGGCGGGCGCCCAGGAUCGCGUGACGGUGCUAUGCCGCCCAGCCACCUCGGCCGCCCAACCAACGCUAGCCCCACCCAAUGCUAGUGCCCCGCCCAUCUCACAAUUCACGGUGCCUAACGUAUCUUUUACGGUGAUGAUCCUUCCGCAGGUUCACCUACGGAAA
rnacentral:misc_RNA from 1 species